rnacentral:lncRNA from 1 species
GUGGGGUUAUGGUAUGGGCCCCAUGGUGGCAGUGGGGUUAUGGUAUGGGCCCCAUGGUGGAGGUGGGGAUAUGGUAUGGGCCCCAUGGUGGAGAUGUGGGGUUAUGGUAUGGGCCCCAUGGUGGAGAUGUGGGGUUAUGGUAUGGGCCCCAUGGUGGAGAUGUGGGGUUAUGGUAUGGGCCCCAUGGUGGAGGUGGGGUUUAUGGUAUGGGCCCCAUGGUGGAGGUGGGGUUUAUGGUAUGGGCACCAUGGUGGAGGUGGGGAUAUGGUAUGGGCCCCAUGGUGGAGAUGUGGGGUUAUGGUAUGGGCCCCAUGGUGGAGAUGUGGGGUU